rnacentral:rRNA from 1 species
CCUACGGGAGGCAGCAGUCGAGAAUCAUUCACAAUGGGGGAAACCCAGAUGGUGCGACGCCGCGUGGGGGAAUGAAGGUCUUCGGAUUGUAAACCCCUGUCAUGUGGGAGCAAAUUAAAAAGAUAGUACCACAAGAGGAAGAGACGGCUAACUCUGUGCCAGCAGCCGCGGUAAUACAGAGGUCUCAAGCGUUGUUCGGAAUCACUGGGCGUAAGGCGUGCGUAGGCUGUUUCGUAAGUCGUGUGUGAAAGGCGCGGGCUCAACCCGCGGACGGAACAUGAUACUGCGAGACUAGAGUAAUGGAGGGGGAACCGGAAUUCUCGGUGUAGCAGUGACAUGCGUAGAUAUCGAGAGGAACACUCGUGGCGAAGGCGGGUUCCUGGACAUUAACUGACGCUGAGGCACGAAGGCCAGGGGAGCGAAAGGGAUUAGAUACCCCUGUAGUC